GAGGGUAUAGCUCAAUUGGUAGAGUGCUUGCUUAGCAUACAUGAGGUCCUGGGUUUAAUCCCCAGUACCUCCG
rnacentral:tRNA from 1 species